UUGACUACAGAAAAUACGAUCAGUGUGCAGAUACCAGGGCAAUGUUACGAUCGUUUGCUGUCCGAACGAUCCAAACAAAGAGAAGAGAGAAAUUUUAAUAAAAACUGUGUAUAAGUAUAAGGCUUUGCGACCACCAUACUGUGGUUUUAGCAACGUCUCUCAUACCAGGGUGGUGGUCGAUGGUAAACCAGCUGAACUUGGUACGUUUUAUGUCUUUCUUUCCGAUUAAUAAUAAGCCAUUUACUGCAAAGAAUGAACUUUAAAGGCAUUAAACAGCACAUCAAUGUACAUUUCAAUUAGACUAAAUAAUAAUGCUAUGAUUUUAUCGGUAGUAACUUUACUUAUUAACUUGAAUUAUUUCUUUCUUUUACUUCAUGUUAGGAAGAGUAUCUUUUUGCUCGAAAUAAAAAAUUGAUAUAGGAGUAAUAAUAUGGAUAGAGAUCAAAAACUGUUAGGGCAGAAAUUACACGUUUGAACUUUAUAGUUCAGUAUAGUUCAAAUAGAAAUUAUAUAGAAUUAUUUAAUAAUUUGUAUUCCACUGGAAUAAAAAUUUAAUUUCUGUCUUUAUCAAAUCUCUAUUUCAGAGUAUUUGUACGUAUGUACUUAUCGUCUGCUGUAUGAUCGAAUAUCGAAUAGGUAAUAAUCGUUGUUACUCGUUAUGUGAGAAAAAAUUAUGUAUAUUCACAACUAUGACUAUUGCAUUUUAGGCGUUUGGCCAUGGAUCGUUGCAUUAGGUUUUCGUAAUCCCCGAAACCCAGACAAACCACUAUGGAAGUGCGGAGGUUCCCUGAUAUCGGCUAGGCAUGUUUUGACCGCAGCACAUUGUGCACAUAUGGAUGGAAUAGAAAACAUACACAAUCAUAAUAUUGCCAUUCUUAGAUUGGUGGAGGAGGUGCCAUUUUCGAGUAAGUCCUCAAAUAUAUAUAUAUAUAUAUAUAUAUAUAUAUAUAUAUAUAUAUAUAUAUAUAUGCUAUUGAGUAUUACUGAAGUAUCAUAUCCUGAAAUUUCUUACUGUACACAUAUAUUGUGUCAUAAAGCGUGUACAAUUCUUUCUCAUACUUUUGGUCAUUCGUUUCCUGCAUUUUCAUUUAUUUUUUUAUUUUUCAGGGUACGUAUAUCCCAUUUGUACGAAAGAGCUCCUGCGAAAGAGCAACUUCGUCGGCUAUAACCCCCUUGUUGCUGGAUGGGGAGCAUUAAGAUAUAGUAAGUGAUAUCAAUUUUAUAAUAAAAUUAAACAGUUCCAGUCUUAAAUAUCUUUCUUAUUUUCUUCGUAGGACGACCACGACGUAAUGCAUUAAUGGAAGUACAAAUGCCAGUGAUUAAGAACGCCGAAUGCAAAAUAGCUUAUUCCAAAUUUCCUAAUGCACCUGAUGUCACUGAUGGUAUAAUAUGCGCCGAACGUGCUCAGGGUGGAAAGGAUUCUUGUACGGCUGACCGCGGCGGACCACUGCUGAUACAACAUGAAUUAACCUCGUAUUUAAUAGGUAUUGUGUCUUAUGCUUAUAAGUGCGGCACAGCUGGGUAUCCCAGCGUUUACACUAGGGUCACAUCGUACCUUGACUUCAUUCUCCAAGCGAUGCAAUAAUAUGAUAUUACUGUUCCAUAAAUAUCAUUGUGUAAAAAACGUAAAGUUGGAUUUUCUUAUUGUGGAGAUAAGAAACAGCUCAAAUUUACAUUGUUUUGUACGUUACAAAUUAUAGGCUUAAAAUGUACGAAAUGUAACUUUGAAACGACACUAAUUUUUUACGCACGAUAAACCUCCACGACUUAGAUUAUAGAUUCCUAUACGACUCUCAGUAAAAAUUUAUCCGCACUCCAGAUAGUUAAAACUUCUGUCGACCGUAUUGAUCCAUCUGCACUCUUCGUAUGACGUCAAUAUCUGUUCAGUGCUGCUGCGCAGGUUUCUUUGUGUUACGUCAAUUCGUUUGUGACCGUUGCGCGAGUAAUGGCGCUUUGCAAUGGUGAUUUGCAGGAAAACAGUGCAGAAUGCUGUGAUUCGUUUCUUGUGGUCGGAGGUUAUGUUUGAUGCCUAUAUUUAUCAAAGAUUUAAUGCACAUUAUGGAGAAAGUGUUUUGUCACGAAGUGUGUUUGAAUGGGCACAAAGGUUCAAAGAAGAUCGCACAAGUGUUAUGAAAAAACAGGUGGACGCCCGUCCACAUCCACGUUGACAACAUUGAACGUGUUCAUGAACUUAUGCUCUAUGGAAUAGACGAGUGACACUGGAUAAUGUGGCAAAUCAUUUGCAAAUCAGCCACGGCUCUGCUUAUGCAAUAGUGCACGACAGAUUUGGGUUUUAAAAAGUUUGUGCGAGAUGGAUGCCGAAAAAGCUGAUGAAAAGGUGAAGACGACGAUGCAUUCGUGGUUCGCAGCUCAGCCCAAAACAUUUUUUAAUGAGAAAAUACGAAGGUCCUUCGGCAAAUGGACAAAGUGUAUACAGAAAUUGAGUGAUUAUGUCAAAAAAUGAUGUAUGUCUUUUUUGACAAUUGCUUAAAAUAAAUUCUACACCGACAGAGCGGGCUGUUAAUCUAGAGGCUGGAGUACAAAGAAGUGGCACAAUGAUGUGGGCUGAUGACAUUUAUAAUUAUCAAGGAAUCACCCCUACAUUCGCUCAGAAUUUUAAUGAAACUGUCCCUUGGGAAGGAAGAACUGAUACCUUGAUAUCACGGUUUGUACAUCCUAUAUAUACGACAAAUUUUAGAACAUUAUAUAACGAAGAACCAGAUCGUCGUGGCCAUGUGAUGUGAAUAAAAGGACUUGAAUUUGAUGAUAUUUUUAUAAUGUUAGAUAACAUAACUAAGUAUCUUCACAGUAAGAUAGGAU